GGGUGUGAUCAUACAAGCGUUAAUGCACCGGAUCCCAUCAGAACUCCGCAGUUAAGCGAACUUGGGCUAGAGUAAUACUGGGAUGGGUGACCU
rnacentral:rRNA from 1 species